rnacentral:tRNA from 1 species
GGAGAGGUACCGAAGUGGCCAACCGGGGCAGACUGUAAAUCUGUUGGCGCAAGCCUUCGAUGGUUCGAAUCCAUCCCUCUCCACCA